rnacentral:rRNA from 1 species
UACGUAGGGUGCAAGCGUUAAUCGGAAUUACUGGGCGUAAAGGGUGCGUAGGCGGCUUCUUAAGUCUGGUGUGAAAUCUCCCGGCUCAACUGGGAGGGUGCGCCGGAUACUGAGGGGCUAGAGUGUGGGAGAGGAAAGUGGAAUUCCUGGUGUAGCGGUGAAAUGCGUAGAUAUCAGGAGGAACACCGGUGGUGUAAACGGCUUUCUGGACCAUAACUGACGCUGAGGCACGAAAGCGUGGGUAGCAAACAGG